GUUCUCUUCAGUCUCUCUCUGGUUGGGCGUUGGGAAGCAGCCCGGCUCUGCAGCUUCCCGGGUCAGGGUACUGGCAGAGUGAGGAUGGCCCCAGCGAAGUGACCCCAGGGAGGACGAGCUCUGGGCGAACAGCUGCUCCUGCCUCGCCCUGGCACAAAAGCCUGUCUCACCAGAAUACCUGGACCAGUCUCCUAGGGCUGUUAUGAGCAAGUGCCACCAACUGGUGGCUUGAAACAGCGUGCGGGCUCUCGAUGUCUCCUGCUAAUGGUGAAUCUGUCAGCGCCCACAGCGCCAGCCCUCGACUCUCAGAGCAUCAAGGACGACAUCACGGCUACAGCUAGCUGCUGGAGCAUCUGCCUUCAAACCCAGACCUUGUCUUUGAGUGGUCAAGGUUAUUACCCAACUUACCUGGUCACAGAUCUAACAAUCUCCACUCCACUUACACUGCUGUGGAAAUGAGUUGAGUCUACACACGCAGAUUAAAUAACAGCGAAUGCUUGGGACCAGCAGUUAGCGUAAUGGCUAUGUCGCUGGAC